rnacentral:rRNA from 1 species
AAUUUAAGGGCGUACGGUGGAUGCCUUGACUUUAAGAGGCGAUGAAGGACGUGGCGUUGCUGCGAUAAGCUUCGGGGAGACGCAAAGCAGUCUUUGAUCCGGAGAUUUCCGAAUGGGGAAACCCUGUAGAGUAAACCUCUACAACCUUGAGCUUUAUGUUCAAGGAGCAUACCCUGGGAAGUGAAACAUCUCAGUACCAGGAGGAGUAGAGAACAAUAGUUAUUUCCUAAGUAGCGGCGAGCGAAAAGGAAGAAGCCCAAACUCGAGUAGCAAUACUCGGGGGUUGUAAGGUAACAAUUUUUAUUUAUUUAAAGAAGAGUCAAAAAAUAAAUUAUUAGCUUAAGUUCUUGGAAAAGGGCACCAUAGAGGGUGAUAGUCCCGUCUGCGAAAAUAAUUUAUCUCUUUUAUUGUUAUUCUUGAGUACCCCAGGACAUGAAUGGCCGGGGGGAAUCCAGCGGAACUAACCGCUAAGGCUAAAUACUCUUAAAGAUCGAUAGUGAACUAGUACCGUGAGGGAAAGGUGAAAAGCAGCCCGAUUAGGGCGGUGAA